rnacentral:rRNA from 1 species
ACUUUACAAUGCGGGCAACCGUGAUAAGGGAACCUCGAGUGCCUGUACAUGCAGGCUGUCUGGGUGUCUAAAACACACCCAAAGAAAGGGCCGGGCAAGACCGGUGCCAGCCGCCGCGGUAAUACCGGCGGCUCGAGUGGUGGCCACUUUUAUUGGGCUUAAAGCGUUCGUACCUGGGUUGUUAAGUCUCUUGGGAAAUCCGGCGGCUUAACCGUCGGGCGUCUAAGAGAUACUGGCAAUCUUGGAACCGGGAGAGGUGAGGGGUACUUCAGGGGUAGGA